GUUGAGAACCACUGAACUAAAGGCACCAGAUCCCAUCUGAUCUUGAAAGUUAAAGCAGGGGAAGCCCUGGUAAAUACUUGGAUGGGAGACCACCAAAGAAUACCAGGUGGUAUAGGCG
rnacentral:rRNA from 1 species